AUACGUAGGUGGCAAGCGUUAUCCGGAUUUAUUGGGCGUAAAGCGAGCGCAGGUCGGUUUUUUAAGUCUGAUGUGAAAGCCCUCGGCUUAACCGAGGAAGCGCAUCGGAAACUGGGAAACUUGAGUGCAGAAGAGGACAGUGGAACUCCAUGUGUAGCGGUAAAAUGCGUAGAUAUAUGGAAGAACACCAGUGGCGAAGGCGGCUGUCUGGUCUGUAACUGACGCUGAGGCUCGAAAGUAUGGGUAGC
rnacentral:rRNA from 1 species